rnacentral:rRNA from 1 species
UACGGGGGGGGCAAGCGUUGUUCGGAAUUACUGGGCGUAAAGGGCUCGUAGGUGGCCAACUAAGUCGGACGUGAAAUCCCUCGGCUUAACCGGGGAACUGCAUCCGAUACUGGAUGGCUUGAGUUUGGGAGAGGGAUGCGGAAUUCCAGGUGUAGCGGUGAAAUGCGUAGAUAUCUGGAGGAACACCGGUGGCGAAGGCGGCAUCCUGGACCAACACUGACACUGAGGAGCGAAAGCCAGGGGAGCAAACGGG